GAUGAACGCUAGCUACAGGCUUAACACAUGCAAGUCGAGGGGCAGCGAGAGGGAAGCUUGCUUUCCUUGUCGGCGACCGGCGCACGGGUGAGUAACGCGUAUCCAACCUUCCCCUUACUAAGGAAUAGCCCGGCGAAAGUCGGAUUAAUGCCUUAUGUUCUCCUUUGCAGGCAUCUAACGAGGAGCAAAGAUUCAUCGGUAAGGGAUGGGGAUGCGUCUGAUUAGCUUGUCGGCGGGGUAACGGCCCACCGAGGCGACGAUCAGUAGGGGUUCUGAGAGGAAGGUCCCCCACAUUGGUACUGAGACACGGACCAAACUCC
rnacentral:rRNA from 1 species